rnacentral:rRNA from 1 species
UACGAAGGGGGCUAGCGUUGUUCGGAAUUACUGGGCGUAAAGGGCGCGUAGGCGGAUGUCUAAGUUGGGGGUGAAAUCCCGGGGCUCAACCUCGGAACCGCCUUCAAUACUGGAUAUCUUGAGUUCGGGAGAGGUGAGUGGAAUUCCCGGUGUAGCGGUGAAAUGCGCAGAUAUCGGGAAGAACACCCGUGGCGAAGGCGGCUCUCUGGGACGGUACUGACGCUGAGGAGCGAAAGCGUGGGGAGCGAACAGG